UUUCCAAGUGUCUAUUUCCUAAGCUAUGGA
rnacentral:piRNA from 1 species